ACAAAAUGGAUGCUCACAGGAUGCUCUCUCCACGUUUGUGUCUGGGGAUUGAACUCGGGUCAUCAGGAUACAAGCAUCUAUACCACUGAGCCAUCUCUCCAGCCAGCACCUUUGAUUCUGUGUUGAUUGUUCCUGUUGGAAAGAGGCUAGAGUCAGCCCAUGAGGUAUACAAACCAGACAGCACAGUCUUGAGAAGAGGGUUCAGCCAAGAUCUCAGUGCUCACUUGCCUUCUGUAGCGGGCAUCCCCGCAAGCAGAGCUCACUUGUGCAAUCCCGGGAACUGGGCUGUCUUGUUGGCUGGAAAACACAAGAUCUUCCGGCUAUGCACGUGGGUGUCUGGGUAUCACCGGAUGGUGCUUUCACUGUUAUCUGAGUAAGAGCAGAAGUCUGGAGGCUGUCCGGGCACAUCAAAGCAUGUGCAGAGCUCAGAUAAAGGCCUUCUGGUUGCGCCCUCCUCAUUGCCUGCGGGAGAACGUGGGGACCAUGCUCAUCCCGGAACGUUCAACGGGUUCAGAUUUCAUGGAGUAAACUCAACCUUGUUGGUCGUUGGUUCCAGAAAAUUCUCCUUGGCCCUCACUCAGCCCUUCUCCUAGCUCAGAGAGAAUUCCUUCCGAACUGCGCCUUUACCUUCCUGUGGUCCACCCCUCCUCUGUAAAGAUUCCUUUACACUUGGAGCAUCUCUUAUUUUUGCUCACAGCCUCACUGGCAAAUAAAUAAAGAGAAGUAUAUAAACACACAA
rnacentral:lncRNA from 1 species